rnacentral:rRNA from 1 species
GGCGGCAGGCCUAACACAUGCAAGUCGAGCGGUAACAUUUCUAGCUUGCUAGAAGAUGACGAGCGGCGGACGGGUGAGUAACGCGUAGAAAUCUACCUAGCAGUGGGGGAUAGCCCAGAGAAAUUUGGAUUAAUACCGCAUACGCCCUACGGGGGAAAGCGGGGGAUCUUCGGACCUCGUGCUAUUAGAUGAGUCUGCGUCGGAUUAGCUUGUUGGUGAGGUAAUGGCUCACCAAGGCGACGAUCCGUAGCUGGUCUGAGAGGAUGACCAGCCACACUGGAACUGAGACACGGUCCAGACUCCUACGGGAGGCAGCAGUGGGGAAUAUUGCACAAUGGGCGCAAGCCUGAUGCAGCCAUGCCGCGUGUGUGAAGAAGGCCUUAGGGUUGUAAAGCACUUUCAGCAGUGAGGAAAGGGGUGUCGUUAAUAGCGCCAUCCUGUGACGUUAACUGCAGAAGAAGGACCGGCUAACUCCGUG